rnacentral:rRNA from 1 species
AGCAGUCGCCACGGGAAUACAGAGGGUGCGAGCGUUAAUCGGAUUUACUGGGCGUAAAGCGUGCGUAGGCGGCUUCUUAAGUCGGAUGUGAAAUCCCUGAGCUUAACUUAGGAAUUGCAUUCGAUACUGGGAAGCUAGAGUAUGGGAGAGGAUGGUAGAAUUCCAGGUGUAGCGGUGAAAUGCGUAGAGAUCUGGAGGAAUACCGAUGGCGAAGGCAGCCAUCUGGCCUAAUACUGACGCUGAGGUACGAAAGCAUGGGGAGCAAACAGGAUUAGAGACCCCUGUAGUCCCUGUCUCUUAUAA